UUCCCCUAGUAACGGCGAGUGAAGAGGGAAGAGCCCAAGAUUGAAAGCUGGCGUCUUCGGCGUCCGCAUUGUAAUCUCAAGAAGUGUUUUCCGCUUCGGACCAAGCCUAAGUCCCCUGGAAAGGGGCAUCAUAGAGGGUGAUAAUCCCGUACAUGGCUUGGAGCGCCCGUAGCUUUGUGAUACACUUUCUAAGAGUCGAGUUGUUUGGGAAUGCAGCUCAAAAUGGGUGGUAAAUGCCAUCUAAGGCUAAAUAUUGGGGAGAGACCGAUAGCGAACAAGUACAGUGAUGGAAAGAUGAAAAGAACUUUGAAAAGAGAGUUAAACAGUACGUGAAAUUGCCAAAAGGGAAGGGUAGGAGGUCAGAGAUGCGGCCUAGGAUUCAGCCUUGCUUUUGCUUGGUGUUUUUCCUAGAUUGCAGGCCAACGUCGGUUUUGGGCGCUGGAGAAGGGUGGAAGGAACGUGGCACCUCUCGGGGUGUGUUAUAGCCUUCUACUGGAUACAGCGACCGAGACCGAGGACAGCAGCGUACUCGCAAGAGCGGGCCUUCGGGCACCUUUACGCUUAGGGCGUUGGCAUAAUGGCCCUCUAC
rnacentral:rRNA from 1 species